rnacentral:misc_RNA from 1 species
GAUGAAGAACGCAGCGAAAUGCGAUAAGUGAUGUGAAUUGCAGAAUUCAGUGAAUCAUCGAAUCUUUGAACGCACAUUGCGCCCGCCAGUAUUCUGGCGGGCAUGCCUGUCUGAACGUCAUUUCAACCCUCAUGCCCCUAGGGCGUGGUGUUGGGGAUCGGCCAAAGCCCGCGAGGGACGGCCGGCCCCUAAAUCUAGUGGCGGACCCGUCGUGGCCUCCUCUGCGAAGUAGUGAUAUUCCGCAUCGGAGAGCGACGAGCCCCUGCCGUUAAACCCCCAACUUUCCAAGGUUGACCUCAGAUCAGGUAGGAAUACCCGCUGAACUUAAGCAUAUCAAUAAGCGGAGGA